AUUGAACGCUGGCGGCAGGCUUAACACAUGCAAGUCGAGCGGGGGAAGGUAGCUUGCUACUGGACCUAGCGGCGGACGGGUGAGUAAUGCUUAGGAAUCUGCCUAUUAGUGGGGGACAACAUCUCGAAAGGGAUGCUAAUCCCGCCUACGUCCUACGGGAGAAAGCAGGGGAUCUUCGGACCUUGCGCUAAUAGAUGAGCCUAAGUCGGAUUAGCUAGUUGGUGGGGUAAAGGCCUACCAAGGCGACGAUCUGUAGCGGGUCUGAGAGGAUGAUCCGCCACACUGGGACUGAGACACGGCCCAGACUCCUACGGGAGGCAGCAGUGGGGAAUAUUGGACAAUGGGGGGAACCCUGAUCCAGCCAUGCCGCGUGUGUGAAGAAGGCCUUAUGGUUGUAAAGCACUUUAAGCGAGGAGGAGGCUACUUUAGUUAAUACCUAGAGAUAGUGGACGUUACUCGCAGAAUAAGCACCGGCUAACUCUGUGCCAGCCGCCGCAGUAA
rnacentral:rRNA from 1 species